UACGUAGGGGGCAAGCGUUGUCCGGAAUCAUUGGGCGUAAAGGGUGCGUAGGCGGGUCUUUAAGUCAGGGGUGAAAUCCUGGAGCUCAACUCCAGAACUGCCUUCGAUACUGAGGAUCUUGAGUUCGGGAGAGGUGAGUGGAACUGCGAGUGUAGAGGUGAAAUUCGUAGAUAUUCGCAAGAACACUAGUGGCGAAGGCGGCUCACUGGCCCGAUACUGACGCUGAGGCACGAAAGCGUGGGGAGCAAACAGG
rnacentral:rRNA from 1 species